rnacentral:lncRNA from 1 species
UUUUUUACAUUUUAAUAUUUUAUGAUGUAUCUAAAUGAGUAGUUAUUGUUGCAAACUCCAUUAGAAAUUUGAAUUGAGAUCAGUUUUGAAAAAAAUUGGGGGGGGUUCAAUUUUACUCAUUUCAGAUUUCAUAAAUAAUAAGAAAAUUUCUUCAAACAUUUUUUUGAGAGGAUUAAUAUUCAACAGCAUAGUGAAUUGCUCAAAGGCAAAAAAAAACCUUUUUAAGUUCAUUAGACCACAAUUGUUCUGUGUCAGAAACCUAUGCUGUGUCAACUAUUUAAUCACAAUCCAAAUUUAGAGCUGAAUCCAGCUUGAAUGUUGUGUCCAUACUUGCCCCAACUGUUUAGGGUUCAACCUCUGUGGUCGUAUAAAGCUGUGCCCUACGGAGCAUCUGGUUGGUUAUUAUCUUGAAUAUUAAUAUCGAUAAAGAUAAACUGUAAGCAGCAAUAAUAUUAAGCAGAGUAAGAUCUACAAAUAAGUCAACAUGACCAAAAUUGUCAAUUAACCCCUUGAGGAGUUAUUGUCCUUUAUAGUCAAUUUUUAACAAUUAUUUGUAAAUAGUUAUAAUCUUUUACAAAAAUCUUUUUCCUCUGAAAUUACGACGACAAAUUAAACCAAUCUUAGCCACACUCAUCAUUCGGGUAUUUAGUUUAUAAAAUGUGACUGAUGACCCCACCUACCAACCAACAUUGCUGGAUGGCAAAAAAUAGAACAUAAU